rnacentral:misc_RNA from 1 species
UGCACGCGUCGACAACACACAACACCCCGACGCACUUUCUCGCAUCACAGCGAAAGAACCGCAGAGCACUCUGGUGCUCGCGGGUCGCGCACGAUUCGUUGCUUCCCCGUUCGGGCACUCCAUGGCCCACUCUCGCACACCCACACCGACGCAAAAGUGUCAAUCAAUUAACGAAACCCACUUCUGAAACAUCCGCAAGAAAAGGAGAAGAGCAACAACUGCGAGCGCCUGUAAAGUCGCUAGCAAGUUCUUGCUGAUUCGUCGAGCAGCUUCAACUUCACUGGUGCCACCUCCUGGUGGCAAUGACCACCACGACAGCGCGCCCGACGACGUCGUCGUCGCGCUCGUGCCUCAUGAACAUGUCUGCCCCACUCGACUUGCAGCCAACCAUGGUUGACCCGAGCAGCCCUUUCCCAGUAGAUGGCAAGGUCGGCGCGCAGCACUCUGUCUCGUACUUCACCGUUGCGCUCACCCAGCCAGCUCUCGUCGUCAUCCGCAUGAAGGAGGGCAAUACGGCUAGCCGGUGUGCGCUCUUUUUGAGUUGUUUCUACCCCAAGCCGGACGCGAACAACGCGGCGUGGCGCCUCAUCUCUCCGGAGCCAGUUAAGCAGAUCGUCUUGCACCCUGCCGAUCCUGCCUACUGUGUCGACACGCUUCACAUCGCUGUCCACUACCUCGAACCGAGCGGGCAGUCGAACUUCCAACUACAGGUGAGGGUGCAGUCAGAGUUCUUCGCGAUGUGGCUGCGAACCAACGAGGAGAUGCGGGCCGCUACCGGCGCUGCAGCGGCGGAUCACAUGACUGCAGUCAAAACACUUCCGUCUCCCGGCACUUCAGCCUCUGGCAAGUGCUCGGAGGCUAAUGCAGUCGCUCUGCCUGCGGUGCCGACGUUGCAUGCGAUGCUGGCUGCCUCGGCAGCGCGGCUGUCGGGCUGCGCUGCAAUCUCGGCUGGUGCGCCGUUCACUUCCCUAUACGUGGGCGACUGGCGCGGCGACCAGCGGGACGGAUUGGGCUUUCAGUACUACGCCGCACCCGAAGAGGUGUUGUCGCAGACGAUGCUAACCAAGAACGACGUGACGGACGUCGAACAUAGCAUCGCCGGCCACACCGACGGCAGGGACUGUGACGCCACCUGCACCUCCACUUCGCAGCAAGCGGUCACAGUGAGUGGUGUGGAUGUAGCACAGCCUCUGAUGCUGCUUCGUGCCUUCAGUGAGCGGCACAACUUGCCGUGGUCUGCGUGGAGCAUUCCCGACACCCUCACCCCGGAAGAGCUGGCGCGUCUGGGCUUUGGCUUCUGCUUUCAUUCCACCUCUCGUGCGAGGGGCGGCAUCACCGCGACUGGUUCGACGUCAGACCACGCGGCUGUGCCAGUCAAAGGUGCAGCAACUCCUAGCCCUACGGGCGACUUCUCGCUCGCAGGGACCGUGACACUGCCGCCAACGCUGCCGGUCGCGCCUUGCUCCACCGCGGCCGAGGGGAUGGCAGCUCUUGGCGGCUUCAUCGGCUCUUUCCUCGUGGGUGAGAUCAUGAGUGAUGAGGCGGAUGACUGGAAGGUGCUGCCGGUGCAGCCUGGCGUGGAGGUGUACGCAGGCGAGUGGGUGGCGAACAAGAAGGAGGGAAAGGGUGCCUACCAGUGGCUCGACCGCUCCUACGUCGGGGAGUGGGUGGAUGGACGCCGCGAAGGGCACGGUUUUCUUCGCCGGCAAGACGGGAGGUGGUACCGUGGGCAGUGGGAGCGGCACGUCCCGCACGGCCAUGGCGAGGCACGCCUCACACCAGAAGGCCUCUUGUAUAAGGGAGAGUGGCGAGACGGUCGACGCCACGGCUCGGGUGCUCUCACGUACCCGAACGGCAUGACGGUGCAUGGGAUGUGGAUCGGCGACGAGCUGCAGCCAUGCGUGCGCGUCGUGUAUAAAGACGGGAGCACAUACGAUGGCUUGUGGGAUCCGGAGGAGGCGUGCCGCCAAGGGCAGGGCACGUGGACGGACACGCAGGGGUGCAAGCACACGCACGAGUGGCAACACGACAUCCGCGUCGGUGCUGGUCAGGAGGUUUACCCAAAUGGUGUCGUGCUGGAUGGCGUCUGGCGUGCGGGCGAGCUUGUCGAAGGCACCUAUGUGUUCCCGAACGGAGACCGGCACGUUGGUUCCUUGGAUGCGGUACUGCACGUCCGCGAGGGAGUCGGCACCACAGUCUCGGCAGACGGCGCCUCCGUCUACACAGGCGCGUGGCACCAGGACAAGCGCAGCGGGUACGGCGUGCAAACUGUGCAGAGGCCCCCGCUGGCGUGCAAGUCGGGCGAGCCCGCCGAGAGGCCAAGUGUGGAGCGGUACGAAGGAGAGUGGCUCGACGACUUGCGCAGUGGGCAGGGCCGGCUGACAGACGACGACGGCAUCUACGAAGGCGAAUUCGCGCUCGGCUACCGCGACGGCAGCGGCGUGCAGCGCAACACGCGCACUGGGUCCUUCUACGAGGGCAGCUGGAGGGCGAAUCGUCGCUGCGGCGCUGGUACCUACUACAGUGCCACGCAGGGCAUCACCUACGAGGGCAUUUUUAUGCACGACCGCUUGACGAGCAUUGGGACGGCGACGAACACCGCCUUAGCGGAGAAGUACACCGGCAGCUGGUUGGACGGACUUCAGCAAGGGCACGGGUCACUGCGACUUGCAAACGGGGAUGUGCUGCGCGGCGUGUGGCACCGCGGUGUCCCUGAUGCCACUGCCACAGUAGAGUACAUUGAUGCAGACCCGUUAGCGGAUGGCCCGCGCCGCGGCGUGGCGGCUGUGUCGCGGUACGUGGGAGGGUGGCAAGGUGGGGCGCGUGAGGGUACGGGCACGCAGGUUUUCCGCGACGGCAGCGUGUACGAGGGCACGUGGCACGCGAACAAACAGCAGGGUCGCGGCCGCCUCACCACCGCAUCUGGCGAGACGGUGGAGUGUGAGUGGCGAGACGGGUCCAUCGUUGACGGCUGCAUCGGCGAUGUCCACUUCGCCGACGGGAGCGCUUACCACGGUCACGUGAACGUCGCCGGUGUGCCGCACGGAGCGGGUGUGUUGACGUACCCAGACAGCACCGUGUUUGACGGACAGUUUUUCAACGGGGUUUAUCAGCUUUGAGGUGGUCUCGCGCAGACGUGCACGCGCGUGCCUGUUGGUGUGGGCUUGCGUGCCCGGUGAUGCUGCGUACGAGACUCCAUGUGUGACAUAUUCAGGGAAGGAGGGCGGGGAAAGGGGCCCAAAGUUGCGUCACCUCUCUUCCUUGCCCACCAGCAAAGCCACGCAGCUGGCUGGGGGCUCAUGUACAUACCAAACAUCAACAAAAGAGAAACAGAUGCUCAUCGUAAUCCCACUGGAGGCCUCUUGCGCUCGUUUGCCUCUCAUGGCCUCUUGCGGUGUUCCAAUGCCCGUCCACGUAGAUUUGUGCACCCAUCCCCUACGUGCAUCAUCACCGAGUGUACUGGAGGCGGAAGCGGCAGGUGUGCGUGUUUGUGUGUGUGUGGAUGGCUUCGAGGACGGUGUAGCGGUGCCCGUGCGGAGGAGCUAGGGGAGGCGUGUCUGGGAGUGUCGAGGCAUGCAUGCUGCAAAUGGAGAGGUGAGUGCGCACAGUGCGGCACCGCACGAUGAAUGCCUCAACACGCACUGCCUGCUUGUGAAGGCUCAAGAACGGGCUUCUAUGAAGCUGGUAGCUGAGCUAAGGGGAGGCACGUGUGAG